UUUUUGGAUCCUUUUUACAGUUUCUAGGUGCCUCUUCUCCGAUUUCCAAGCCAUCGCUGCUAACAGCCGGCCGGUGAGACCCUCUUCAGACGCCGGCCCUGGGACUCGGGAAAGCGCCCUGAGCACACCUGGGAAUUCCGAGUGUGCGAGCCCAGCUCCCUUGCCUGGAGGCGGGACGAACACCAAAGCAUAAUUUACAUGCUAGCGCCCCGCCCCCGGGCCUGGUCCGGCCCUACCCGUGAGCGCCUUGCUCGUCUGCUUUUGAUUUCGUGUGCUGCCUUUCCCACUCCCUUAACUGGUCUCUUCUGGAAGCGCUGCCGUCCUAAAUCACCGGCACACAAAUCCUUGCCGUGGUGUCUUAGUGGCCUGAGAAGGGUUUACCCUGGAAAGUAUAAAUAGGAAGUGGGACAGCACUUUUGAAGACAGAGGAGUUCUAUCGUCACGCGCCCGUCUGUGAGGAAGAAGCCGAAGGGUCCGCAAAGCCCUUAGAGUUUGAAUUAGGUCACACCCAGCCGUACUGGCCAAUCCCUCGCUGUGACAAGUUGCAUGAAGUUGGACGUGUCAGAUGGAUUCCAAUCUUACGCCGAGCUGUGGGUUUUUUAAGAGAAUGCGUAUUAGUCAGGGUUUGGCCAGGAAAGCAGACGGCACUGUCCCCUUCAAAUGGGAACGGAUUUCGUUCUGGAGAUGAGGCGCUUAUAAAAACAGUUGGCAGAGCUGCAAGAGCAAAGGUUUAGGAAAGCCGAUAACAGCUCUCAGAUUUCCCCCUAACUUCCAGAGCAUCGGAAAGAGCGGUGAGCGGCGCACCGGCUUGCAAGACCAAGAGAUAGAGACUGCCAGCAAGAGAGGGAACACAAGCAGGGGGAGUGGGAGAGGAAGAAGCAGGCUCAUAGCGGAGGAGCCUGAUGUGGGGCUCGACCCAGAACGCCGGGAUCACGCCCUGAGCCGAAGGCAGACGCUUAACCGCUGUGCCACCCGGGCGCCCCACGCAGAGACAUUUAUUAAACAUGCAUUCGUUAGCAAGCGGGCACAAAAGUCCCUGCAGCCUGUUUCUAGGCCCGAGGAAGUCCCAGCUCUCAGCCUACUGCUUGCGUAAGAGGGCCACUCAAGGCCCAUGCAACAUUCUAGAAGUAUCAGGGAACCAGAAAUUCUCCAAAACUCAAGGUCGGACCAAAACCUCGGGUGCCAUCUCGCAGGUGCAGGCUAGAGGCCUUGCUAGCCUCAUCACCUCCUCACGUAUGGAACAUACGGAAAUCUGCAGAUCCUGAAUCCCUUGAAUUUCACCAAGAGCCUGUUUCUAACUUUCAUCGUGCUGUUGAACAAGCCACCAAUUUCAUCCAUGAAAACCCAUUUCUGACUCCAUUUUGCUCAUUAGCAGCACCUCAGGUAUUGAUGGAGCCCUUGUGAUCUUGCAUUUGGAUGCGGCCUUUCUGAGGCCAAGCUAACUGCUGAACUGGAGGGUUUUUUUUUGUUUUUUAAGAUUUUAUUUAUUUGACACAGAGGCAACACAAGCAGGGGGAGUGGGAGAAGAAGCAGGCUUCCCACUGAGCAGAGAGCCUGAUGUGGGGCUCGAUCCUAGAACGCCGGGAUAAUGACCUGAGCUGAAGGCAGAUGCUUAACGACUGAGCCACCCAGGUGCCCCUGGAGGGGGGAUUUUUGAUGGGGGGGAAAAGGCUGCUAACACUGACAUAAUAUCACAACGCUCAGGUUACAAGUAUUUCAAAAAUAAAAUGCAGACGUCGUAAGUUUGGGGUCUUUCAAACGCCAUUUAUUUAUUUAUUUACGAUUUUUUAAAAGUGGGCUCCACACCCAACGUAAGGCUCGAACUCAAGACCCUGAGAUCCAGAGUCACGGCUCUACUGACUGUGCCAGCCAGGCGCCCCAUAAUAAGUUCGUUUGUACCAGGCACUGCCAGGAUUUGGUGGUGGACCAGCAGCAGUCCUCACUCUGAAGAAGCUCGCAGCUUGGAGACAGAGGAUAAAAGAGGUUAAGAAACUUGCCCAGGGCUAGCGAUCUGGAACUUAAUCUCACCUCUGGCUUCAAGACCUGUGCCCUUUUACUAGUGCACAUCAUGCAGGGGGAGUGGCAGGCAGAGGGAGAAGCAGGCUCCCCACCGAGCAGGGAGCCCGAUGUGGGCCUCGAUCCCAGGACCCUGAGAUUACGAUCUGAGCCAAAGGCAGAUGCUUCACUGACUGAGCCGCCCAGGCGUAUAUCUUGCCUGUAUUUUCUCAGGAGCAGGGCUCUUAGCUCAACCACGUGUCUGCGAGGUUCCUCUGGUUGGCACAUGGGAGCCCACCUCGAGCACUGUCCCUACUCUUGGGGGUCCAUGGUAUGAAGAUACUUUACAAGAUGAAUUCUUUUCCUUGAAGUUCUCUUCCUGGUCACUGACUCAUACUGCUGGGCUCCCAAAGCCUUCGCCUGAAGAAAGAGGAAAUACCCUGAAAGGCUCUCUGGGUAAUUUAUGCUUAAACCACUUGUAAAGCCCUAGCAAGCAUCAUCUGUCUUAGGUCCCACCCAGGGUUGUCCCCAUCGGUCACACUCCUGGGGCCCACCCUGAUUGGCAGGGAAAUCACUGGGUGCAUGGCAGGUGCUGUGAGGGCCCAGGGCAGAGCUAGGGUUGGGGUCUGGCCUAGGUCAGGGGUAUUUUUGUCAAGGGACUCAAAAUUCGUACUAACCAAGACUCCAGGGGCCUGCAGACCCCAUGCUAAUGUGCAUGAAUAAAACAUGGCGUCCUCAAGCUCGAAAUAUCGCAAGUAUCCGCUCUGGAUUUGUUCUCACUUCACUGUGUGGGGCAGCAUCAUUCAGCUUCCCACGGCCGCUUUGGCACAAAGUACUUCAAGCGGUGUUAGAGCCUUUCUGGUGAAUAAAUACAUCCAAGCCAUCUACCACUCCUCUUUUUUGAUGAGAGCCGGGGAUGGGGAAGCAAGCGAACUUCUGCAUUUCAGCAUUUACGGCCUUUUGGGCAAAUAGAUUAGCAGUUGCUGGAACAUACAGGUGACCCAUGCCAUCGAGGUUAGAGGCAGUGAAACGUGGACUCUAGCUGCCAUGGUGUUUUCCGGUUUGUCUCUGCACUUCCCCACACCAGCCUCCAACAUGCCCCCAGUGAGUCCUGCCUCCUGGUGUGCCUCUCCCCAAGUCCGUCCUUCUACAGUGUGCCGAGUUGGUCUGUCUGGCCAAUGUGAGGGUGACAGAAACGAUGGGAUGGCCCUUAUGACUUAGGCUACAAAAGACACAGAGCCUUCCGUCUUACAUUCUCUCUGUCUCUCGUUUUCUGAGAUCGCUCGAUCCGAGGAAAGCCAGCUGCCACUGUCAGGAGGAUCUCUGUGGAGAGGCCCAUGUGGUGAGAAAGUGAGGCCUUUGGCCAACAGCCAGCAAGGCACUUGAGGCCUCCUGGCGACAGAUAUGUGAGUGAGUCCUCUCGGAAGCAGAUGUCCCAGCCCUGUUUGUGCUUUCAGAUGACUGCAGGCUCCAGCGGACACCUGCACUGCGACCCCAUGACAGACCCUGAGCCAGAACCACUCGGCUUCGCUGCUCCAUUCCCGGCCCUCAGAAACUGAGAGAUAAUAAAUGUUUGUUGUUUCAAGUCA